rnacentral:rRNA from 1 species
CCGUAGGUGAACCUGCGGAAGGAUCAUUACCUAGAGUUGUAGGCUUUGCCUGCUAUCUCUUACCCAUGUCUUUUAAGUACCUUCGUUUCCUCGGCGGGUUCGCCCGCCGAUUGGACAAUUUAAACCAUUUGCAGUUGCAAUCAGCGUCUGAAAAAACUUAAUAGUUACAACUUUCAACAACGGAUCUCUUGGUUCUGGCAUCGAUGAAGAACGCAGCGAAAUGCGAUAAGUAGUGUGAAUUGCAGAAUUCAGUGAAUCAUCGAAUCUUUGAACGCACAUUGCGCCCCUUGGUAUUCCAUGGGGCAUGCCUGUUCGAGCGUCAUUUGUACCUUCAAGCUCUGCUUGGUGUUGGGUGUUUGUCUCGCCUCUGCGUGUAGACUCGCCUCAAAACAAUUGGCAGCCGGCGUAUUGAUUUCGGAGCGCAGUACAUCUCGCGCUUUGCACUCAUAACGACGACGUCCAAAAGUACAUUUUUACACUCUUGACCUCGGAUCAGGUAGGGAUACCCGCUGAACUUAAGCAUAUCAAUAAGCGGAGGA